AUGCCUUCCAUCACCGUUCCUCCAGUUGUGCUGCACAUCUUGGCCUCUCCCGCCACCGCAUGCACCGAGCAGGAGAAGCAUAAUCUGCUCCAGUUCCUAGCCGGGCUGUCGCGAGAUGGCGGCCUCGCCACGUCAUGGCGCGACAACGGGACGAACUGCUGCAAGUGGGAAGGCGUCAUCUGCAAUGAAGAUGGGGCCGUUACUGAGGUCUCCCUGGGAUCUAAAGGACUUGAAGGGUGCAUCUCGCCAUCCCUGGCCGACCUCACCAGCCUGCUACAUGUCAAUCUCUCGUACAACUCCUUCUCUGGUGGCCUUUUGCCAGAGCUCAUGUCCUCCGGAAGCAUCAUCAUCCUUGACGUCAGCUUCAACCAGCUCAACGGACCGCUGCCCAACCUGCCGUACUUGGUUACCACCAACCGGCCUCUGCAGGUACUCACCAUCUCAAGCAACCAGUUCAGCUCAAAAUUUCCAUCAGCCACAUGGAAGGUGAUGAAAAAUCUGAUUGCACUCAACGCCAGCAAUAACAGCUUCACCGGGAACAUAUCGUCUUCUCUCUGCCUUGGCUCGCCAUAUUUGGUAUUGCUUGACCUCUGUUACAACCAAUUGAGUGGCAAUAUUCCCACUGCACUAGGUGAUUGCUCCAAGCUCAAAGUGCUCAAGGUGGGCCAUAACAACCUCAGUGGGACUCUCCCUGUUGAAAUCGUCCACGCUGCCUCGCUAGAGUACCUCUCCUUCCCCAACAAUGGAUUACAAGGAGAACUUGAUGGAGCACACAUAGUCAAACUCAGUAAUAUUCGUACUCUUGACCUUGGAGGGAACCACAUCAGUGGCAAGAUUCCAGAGUCCAUAGGUCAGCUCACAAGGCUGGAGGAGCUCCAUUUGGGUAACAAUAACAUGUCUGGGGCGCUGCCAUAA
rnacentral:rRNA from 1 species